rnacentral:lncRNA from 1 species
UGGGAGGGCACAGGCGCUUGCGCAGUAGGGUGGCCGCUCCCGGCCGCGUGCAGCGCGAACGUCGGCGCAGGCGCCAAGGCUCUGGCAGUUGGCCAGCACACCACUACGCAUGUGUGUCAACUCUAGGGUUGGGUGCUGGGGUUGCGGCUUUCGGUUAACACCGCAGAUUGGAACAGGCUGAGAUCUGCUGGAGACAACUUAGGAAAUUAUCAUAGUGAAAAUACUAACAUGGAUUGUUGAUCAUCUGAUGCUAUGAUUCUUUCCCAGGCACCACACCUGUUGGUGUUCAGAUGGAGCGGCACACUAGUCAUCCUAACAGAAAAGCCCAAGGAAUGCCUAGGACUCCUGGAAUGUAUGUAUGCAAACCUCCAGCUUCAGACCCAGCUCGCCCAACAACAGAUGGCUGUUUUGGAACAUUUACAGGCAUCUGUGACACAACUGGCUCCUGGGAGGGGAAGCAAUAACUCUUCUCUCCCAGCCUUAUCUCCUAAUCCAUUGUUAAAUCACCUGCCCCAAUUCAGUAAAUGAAUUGUGGAACAA